rnacentral:rRNA from 1 species
AGCGAACGCUGGCGGCAGGCCUAACACAUGCAAGUCGAACGAACCUUUCGGGGCUAGUGGCGGACGUGUGAGUAACACGUGGGAACGUGCCUUUAGGGUCGGAAUAACUCAGGGAAACUUUUGCUAAUACCGAAUGUGCCCUUCGGGUGAAAGAUUUAUCGCCUUUAGAGCGGCCCGCGUCUGAUUAGCUUGUUGGUUGAGGUAAUGGCUCACCAAGGCGACGAUCAGUAGCUGGUCUGAAAGGAUGAUCAGCCAAAUUGGGACUGAGACACGGCCCAAACUCCUACGGGAGGAAGCAGUGGGGAAUGAUGCGGAAUGGGCGAAAGACUGACGCAGCCAUGCCGGGUGAAUGAUGAAGGUCUUAGGAUUGUAAAAUUCUUUCACAGGGGACGAUAAUGACGGUACCCGGAGAAGAAGCGCCGGCUAACUUCGUG